rnacentral:tRNA from 1 species
AAUAAAGUGCCUGAUUAAAGGAUUAUUCUGAUAGGAUAAAUCAAGUAGAUUUCUACCUUUAUUA